rnacentral:lncRNA from 1 species
UUUUUUUUGCAACAUACAAGAAAGCUCUUGUACCUACAAAUAUAGGUUUAAUUGUAUUAGACUUAUAACUUUUUAGUGGAUUAAUUUUACUCUUAAUUAUACUUUUAGAAAAAUCAAGGAUAUGAGAUAUCUAAUCUAUGCAAGGAUCAUACUUUUUUAACUAUGAUAAAUCUAAAAUGACUAGAUUAAAGGGAGAUCUAAUUAUAUUAAAUAUUACGCAACUACUAUGACCAUUUAUUGCUACAUCUAUAGUAAGUGUUUCAUGAGUAACAUCUCCAAAAUACAACAAAUGACUAUCUAUG